AUUGAACGCUGGCGGCAGGCUUAACACACGCAAGUCGAGCGGAGAUGAGGUGCUUGCACCUUAUCUUAGCGGCGGACGGGUGAGUAAUGCUUAGGAAUCUGCCUAUUAGUGGGGGACAACAUUCCGAAAGGGAUGCUAAUACCGCAUACGUCCUACGGGAGAAAGCAGGGGAUCUUCGGACCUUGCGCUAAUAGAUGAGCCUAAGUCGGGUUAGCUAGUUGGUGGGGUAAAGGCCUACCAAGGCGACGAUCUGUAGCGGGUCUGAGAGGAUGAUCCGCCACACUGGGACUGCGGCACGGCCCAGACUCCUUCGGGAGGCAGCAGUGGAGAAUAUUGGACAAUGGGGGGAACCCUGAUCCAGCCAUGCCGCGUGUGUGAAGAAGUCCUUAUGGUUGUAAAGCACUUUAAGCGAGGAGGAGGCUACUGAGACUAAUACUCUUGGAUAGUGGACGUUACUCGCAGAAUAAGCACCGGCUAACUCUGUGCCAGCAGCCGCGGUAAGAC
rnacentral:rRNA from 1 species